UAGCCUUAGCGGUGGAUCACUCGGCUCGUA
rnacentral:rRNA from 1 species